rnacentral:rRNA from 1 species
UACAGAGGCCCCAAGCGUUACUGAGAAUCACUGGGUUUAAAGGGUGCGUAGGUGGCGCGUUAAGUCCGUUGUGAAAGCCCUGGGCUCAACCCAGGAACUGCUUCGGAUACUGGCGCGCUUGAGGCUAGUAGGGGUCACUGGAACUGACGGUGGAGCGGUGAAAUGCGUAGAUAUCGUCAGGAACGCCAAUGGUGAAGACAGGUGACUGGGCUAGUUCUGACACUGAGGCACGGAAAGCGUGGG